rnacentral:rRNA from 1 species
UAGGGAAUCUUCCGCAAUGGACGCAAGUCUGACGGAGCAACGCCGCGUGAGUGAAGAAGGAUUUCGGUUCGUAAAACUCUGUUGUUAGAGAAGAACAGCGCAUAGAGUAACUGUUAUGCGUGUGACGGUAUCUAACCAGAAAGCCACGGCUAACUACGUGCCAGCAGCCGCGGUAAUACGUAGGUGGCAAGCGUUGUCCGGAUUUAUUGGGCGUAAAGCGAGCGCAGGCGGUCAAUUAAGUCUGAUGUGAAAGCCCCCGGCUCAACCGGGGAGGGUCAUUGGAAACUGGUUGACUUGAGUGCAGAAGAGGAGAGUGGAAUUCCAUGUGUAGCGGUGAAAUGCGUAGAUAUAUGGAGGAACACCAGUGGCGAAGGCGACUCUCUGGUCUGUAACUGACACUGAGGCUCGAAAGCGUGGGUAGCAAACAGG